AGGACGAACGCUGGCGGCGUGCUUAACACAUGCAAGUCGAACGGAAAGGCCCAGCUUGCUGGGUACUCGAGUGGCGAACGGGUGAGUAACACGUGGGUGAUCUGCCCUGCACUCUGGGAUAAGCCUGGGAAACUGGGUCUAAUACCGGAUACGACCAACUGUCGCAUGGUGGUUGGUGGAAAGCUUUUGCGGUGUGGGAUGGGCCCGCGGCCUAUCAGCUUGUUGGUGGGGUAAUGGCCUACCAAGGCGACGACGGGUAGCCGACCUGAGAGGGUGAUCGGCCACACUGGGACUGAGACACGGCCCAGACUCCUACGGGAGGCAGCAGUGGGGAAUAUUGCACAAUGGGCGCAAGCCUGAUGCAGCGACGCCGCGUGAGGGAUGACGGCCUUCGGGUUGUAAACCUCUUUCACCAGGGACGAAGCGUGAGUGACGGUACCUGGAGAAGAAGCACCGGCCAACUACGUG
rnacentral:rRNA from 1 species